GAGGACCCGCGGGAGAGGUGGGACUCGCCUGAGCCCGCCCGUCGCUGCCCGCCUUCCCCCUCCCACCCGGGCUGUGCGGUGCGGCCCCGCGGAGCCGGGAGCAGCGCGGCGGGGCAUCCGGCAGCCCAAAGCUCCAGAUUCAAUGUAAUCACGUGGGGCACCAGAA
rnacentral:lncRNA from 14 species